CUUGGUCAUUUAGAGGAAGUAAAAGUCGUAACAAGGUUUCCGUAGGUGAACCUGCGGAAGGAUCAUUAGUAGGGAUGAAGAGGUAGAAGAUGAUAUACUGGUAGCAGAUGCAAUUAUGAUGAUGAUUGCAUUGUGCAACCAGCACGAUUUAUUGAACAGUGACAAAUCAAAAAAUGACAUGAGCACCUUGCUGCAAUGGAUCUCUCGGCUCUUGCAUCGAAGAAGAACGCAGUCCAUUGCGAAAAGUCAUGCGACCUGCACACUUUGAGAAGCAUUACUCUUUGAACGCACCUUGCGCGAAUAAAUGAUUAUUCGAGGUCCUGUUUGAGCAAGCUACGAGAUGGUAGUACGUGAUUAUUUCAUUUCAAUGAUGAGAUGAUUGAAAAAGAUGCGUAGUCUGUAAGACACACCAGUGAGGAGGAAAUGAAGCGAUAUUGUGUUCAAGCAUCACGAUGGAUUCUUCAACAAACCCCCACUGUACGCAUGAACGCAUGAUGAGCAUGAACAUACCAUGACACAUUAUGAAAGCACUAACACACGCAUCUCAAAUCAGGAUAGAGGACCCGCUGAACUUAAGCAUAUCAGUAAGCGGAGGAAAAGAAACUAACGAGGAUUCCCCCAGUAACGGCGAGUGAAGCGGGAACAGCCCAUGGAGAAAUCGAGUGGAAGACACUUGAACUGUUCCGUGGAGAGCAGGAGGAGCGUGAGCUGACGGUUGCAAGUUCUUUGGAAAGAGACGGCAAAGAGGGUGAGACCCCCGUAGCAACAGGCAGCAAAGGCACGUCGAGCUCGUCGAGUCGGAUUGUUUGGGAAUGCAAUCCCAAAUGGGUGGUACGCGCCAUCUAAGGCUAAACAAGGGCAAGAGACCGAUAGCAAACAAGUACCGUGAGGGAAAGAUGAAAAGGACUCUGAAGAGAGAGUGAAAAGUGCGUGAAAUUGCAGCAAGGGAAACGCACAAGGGGGAGUAAGGCGGGAGUGGAUGGGCGGUUGGGAUAGCCGUGGAAGUAUGGAUGUGUGCGAGCAUGUCCAACAUACAGCAUGGCGAAAUCAACAGCGCAUCGAGGCCCACCGGACCAAGUUGUGCGACCCGUCUUGAAACACGGACC
rnacentral:rRNA from 1 species